rnacentral:rRNA from 1 species
GACGAACGCUGGCGGCGCUGCUUAACACAUGCAAGUCGAACGGAAAGGCCCUGCUUUUGUGGGGUGCUCGAGUGGCGAACGGGUGAGUAACACGUGAGUAACCUGCCCUUGACUUUGGGAUAACUUCAGGAAACUGGGGCUAAUACCGGAUAGGAGCUCCUGCUGCAUGGUGGGGGUUGGAAAGUUUCGGCGGUUGGGGAUGGACUCGCGGCUUAUCAGCUUGUAGGUGGGGUAGUGGCUUACCAAGGCUUUGACGGGUAGCCGGCCUGAGAGGGUGACCGGCCACAUUGGGACUGAGAUACGGCCCAGACUCCUACGGGAGGCAGCAGUGGGGAAUAUUGCACAAUGGGCGGAAGCCUGAUGCAGCAACGCCGCGUGCGGGAUGACGGCCUUCGGGUUGUAAACCGCUUUCGCCUGUGACGAAGCGUGAGUGACGGUAAUGGGUAAAGAAGCACCGGCUAACUACGUGCCAGCAGCCGCGGUGAUACGUAGGGUGCGAGCGUUGUCCGGAUUUAUUGGGCGUAAAGGGCUCGUAGGUGGUUGAUCGCGUCGGAAGUGUAAUCUUGGGGCUUAACCCUGAGCGUGCUUUCGAUACGGGUUGACUUGAGGAAGGUAGGGGAGAAUGGAAUUCCUGGUGGAGCGGUGGAAUGCGCAGAUAUCAGGAGGAACACCAGUGGCGAAGGCGGUUCUCUGGGCCUUUCCUGACGCUGAGGGGCGAAAGCGUGGGGAGCGAACAGGCUUAGAUACCCUGGUAGUCCACGCUGUAAACGGUGGGUACUAGGUGUGGGGUCCAUUCCACGGGUUCCGUGCCGUAGCUAACGCUUUAAGUACCCCGCCUGGGGAGUACGGCCGCAAGGCUAAAACUCAAAGGAAUUGACGGGGCCCCGCACAAGCGGCGGAGCAUGCGGAUUAAUUCGAUGCAACGCGUAGAACCUUACCUGGGUUUGACAUGGAUCGGGAGUGCUCAGAGAUGGGUGUGCCUCUUUUGGGGUCGGUUCACAGGUGGUGCAUGGCUGUCGUCAGCUCGUGUCGUGAGAUGUUGGGUUAAGUCCCGCAACGAGCGCAACCCUUGUUCACUGUUGCCAGCACGUUAUGGUGGGGACUCAGUGGAGACCGCCGGGGUCAACUCGGAGGAAGGUGGGGAUGACGUCAAGUCAUCAUGCCCCUUAUGUCCAGGGCUUCACGCAUGCUACAAUGGCUGGUACAGAGAGUGGCGAGCCUGUGAGGGUGAGCGAAUCUCGGAAAGCCGGUCUCAGUUCGGAUUGGGGUCUGCAACUCGACCUCAUGAAGUCGGAGUCGCUAGUAAUCGCAGAUCAGCAACGCUGCGGUGAAUACGUUCCCGGG